rnacentral:rRNA from 1 species
UCUGAGUUUGAUCCUGGCUCAGGAUGAACGCUGGCGGCGUGCCUAAUACAUGCAAGUCGAGCGAAUGGAUAGUUUGAUCGUUGUUCAGAACGAACGGGGGGGGCGGGGUUAACACAUGCAAGUACAGGGAGACAUUAGGGUGAAGCGGCGGAGGGGUGAGUAAUAAGUGGGAACGUCCCUUUCUAUACGGAAUAGCCCCGGGAAACUGGGAGUAAUACCGCUACGCCCUUUGGGGGAAAGAUUCAUCGGAGAAGGAUCGGCCCGCGUUGGAUUAGGUAGUUGGUGGGGUAAUGGCCCACCAAGCGGACGAUCCAUAGCUGGUUUGAGAGGAUGAUCAGCCACCCUGGGAGUGAGACCAGUACCAGAUUCUUACCGGAGGCAGCAAGGGGGAAUGUUAGACAAUGGGGGCAACCCUGAUCUAGCCAUGCCGCGUGAGUGAUGAGGCCUUAGGGUUGUAAAGCUCUUUCAGCUGGGAAGAUAAUGACGGUACCAGCAGAAGAAGCCCCGGCUAACUCCCUGCCAGCAGCCGCGGUAAUACGGAGGGGGCUAGCGUUGUUCGGAAUUACUGGGCGUAAAGCGCACGUAGGCGGACUGGAAAGUCAGAGGUGAAAUCCCAGGGCUCAACCUUGGAACUGCCUUUGAAACUAUCACUCUGGAGUUCGAGAGAGGUGAGUGGAAUUCCGAGUGUAAAGGUGAAAUUCGUAUAUCUUCGGAGGAACACCAGUGGCGAAAGCGGCUCACUGGCUCCAUACUGACACUCAGGUGCGAAAGCGUGGGGAGCAAACAGGAUUAGAUACCCUGGUAGUCCACGCCGUAUACAAUGAAUGCCAGACGUCGGCAGCAUGCUUGUCGGUGUCACACCUAAGGGAUUAAGCAUUCCGCCCGGGGAGUACGGUCGCAAGAUUAACACUCGGAGGAAUUGACGGGGGCCCGCACAAGCGGUGGAGCAAGUGGUUUAAUUCGAAGCACGCGCAGAACCUUACCAAGCCUUGACAUGGCAGGACCGCUGGAGAGAUUCAGCUUUCUCGUAAGAAACCUGCACACAGGUGCUGCAUGGCUGUCGUCAGCUCGUGUCGUGAGAUGUUCGGUUAAGUCCGGCAACGAGCGCAACCCACGUCCCUAGUUGCCAUCAUUCAGUUGGGCACUCUAUGGAAACUGCCGAUGAUAAAUCGGAGGAAGGUGUGGAUGACGUCAAGUCCUCAUGGCCCUUACGGGUUGGGCUACACACGUGCUACAAUGGUGGUGACAGUGGGUUAAUCCCCAAAAGGCCAUCUCAGUUCGGAUUGUCCUCUGCCAACUCUUGGGAAUGAAGUUGGAAUCUCUCCUAAUCGCGGAACAACACGCCGCGAUGAAUACAUUCCCGGGCCUUGUACACACCGUCCGUCACACCAUGGGACUUGGUUCUACCCAACAACACUGUUCGUACCACCCGGGGGCAGGCGGGCAACCUUUGAUCAGCCACCGGGGUGAAGUCGUACCAGGGGUAGCCGUAGAAGUCGUAACAGGGGUAGCAUA